AUUUAAUGACCACUCAUCAUUUAGAUAAUCUUUAUGCUCAGCACAUGCAGUAAUAAUCACAACAAAACGCCAAUUAGAUAAAGUAAAACUCACACAUCAAGUAUGUAUAAGCACAAUAAUUCAUUCAACCAAAAGACAAAGCAAAAAAGGGUAAAAGUCGCCCCUGGGCAUAAUCCAGUGGUACAAAGGACAGGAGUGAGGUUAUCUCACACCUUGCUGGCAGUCGCAGUAUAAAAGUUCGAUUCUUGAGAUAUGGAAUUUGACUUCUUGUAUGCGCAGUGUACAAGCGGCUCUUGUUCCCUGGCUUGUUAGGGCACAUCCCGUGAUUUACCUC
rnacentral:lncRNA from 1 species